rnacentral:rRNA from 1 species
UACGGGGGGGCAAGCGUUGUUCGGAAUUUCUGGGCGUAAAGGGCUUGUAGGUGGCCAACUAAGUCAGACGUGAAAUCCCUCGGCUUAACCGGGGAACUGCGUCUGAUACUGGAUGGCUGGAGUGUGGGAGAGGGAUGCGGAAUUCCAGGUGUAGCGGUGAAAUGCGUAGAUAUCUGGAGGAACACCGGUGGCGAAGGCGGCAUCCUGGACCAUUACUGACACUGAAAAGCGAAAGCCAGGGGAGCAAACGGG